rnacentral:misc_RNA from 1 species
UCUCCGUUGGUGAACCAGCGGAGGGAUCAUUACUGGAAUCGCAAGAUCCCACAACCCUGUGAACCUACCGAAACGUUGCCUCGGCGGGUACCCGGCCCCCGCGCCGGGCGCUGCGCCCGCCGGCGGCCCCCUACUCUGUCUCUGCAGCGUGGCAUCUCAGAGUCCCAGAAAACAAGUCAAAACUUUCAACAACGGAUCUCUUGGCUCUA